UACCCAACGAGACCGUGCACUAGACUAGACCACAGAGCAUUCUUUCAGAAAUGCAACUGUUGUCGGAAUCUUUGAUGCACGACAUCUCGACAUUUUUAACAUAAGCUUGCUAUAAGCAGUAAUUCAGUUGUAUUUCAAAUUGAUAUUUCCUUCCCUUUUUCUGGUCUACUGAAUCGGGGAGGAGAAAGACACCGCAAGCGAAAACUUUGAAACGAUCAAACGUAUAGUUCUGAAGCUACGUUCAUAGUGUACCGACAAACUUGUGUACGCAUGGGCGUUCGAGAAACCCCAAAGUUCCGUCUCUAGUAUCUACAAUCUGUGAUUUAAACUUUAAAGUAAAAUUUAAAGCACAGAUUAAUAUUUUCUCUCGAAAAUUAUUUUAUGUGUUCUCCAUUGGAUACUCGCACAGUUUUGCAAAUUUUGAAUGUUUUGCGAUCGCGUUUACUAACCGCUAAACAAUUCUCCCAAUAAAAAUUUCUUUACCAACGAUCCUUGCCGAAGCGCUUUGAAACAUUCGAAUUUUUCGCGCGUUGCUCGCGAAACGUUCAGUUGGCAGUUGUGGUAGACAAGCCUCCUCGUACUCGAUCGAAAACGUUCGAAUGUCGAAGGCACAGAACAACGUAUGCUUUUAAAACUCUGUAAUAUAUUGCACCGAGAGGAAAUUUAUUUAGAAUGAAGUCGUCGCAAUGAUUGGAAUUCCAUAAACGAAAUGUACGAUGGACGUUGAUUUAGGCAAGCAUUUCUUUAGGAAACGGAAUAGGCACCGGAAUAUUUAUUGUACAGAGCGUCAAAAAGGUCAAACAAAAAGUUUACAUAACGAAGCUUGCCGAUGCACAGCAUGACUUUACUUUUUAUUUGCGAAUGGACGACGUGGGUGGUGAAGCGUCCUUCGUACCGAAGAAUGCGUUACGAGCCAACGGAGAAUAUAUGAACGAAGGGCGAAACUUCGAGAGAUCCGCUGGUUCAACAUCGGGCAGCAUCCGCAUACCUCUUUAACGAGUCGUCUUCCGAAUCUUGCCAAGCGACCGCUGAUUUUCAAGCGCUUGGCAUCGAAGCGUAAUUGCCUUUGCACGCUCCACCCGUCGUUGUCACUUCCCCGCCCGAAGAUGUAUGUAUAUAGGGAACGAAGGAAACGGAGGAGACGUAGAGCAGGAGGACCGCGCGGACAACAUGCCACAACGACGAUGACCACAGCAACGAUGACGAGGGAGGAUGCGCUGGCAACGAAAAUAUUUCGGACUGAAUAAAUUCACUCACUACUUCACAACUUAUCCGUUGGCCGUUCUUCACACGCGUUGCCGCGCCGUUUCGAAACAGGGAUCGCCUGAAUGAAAACUGAACGGCCUACACCGCUCCGAGAUCUUGACACUCGAAACGAAGAUCUUGCACCGAUUCACGGCUGAUUGAUUACUCUCCCCAUUAUUUCUAGACAGGGCGCGUUAGUCCCGAGAGUAUUAUCUAUCGAUACGCCACACGAUACCUAGUAGAUAAUGCGGAGUUAAUCAUGAAAUUGUCGGACAAAUCGUGCGAAUCGCCUGGCGGAUGCAAACUUCAUUAAAAAUUUCGAUUCGUUUAUGGGAAGAAUAUGAGAAAUUUUAGUCGCUGCUCACUGUUCAGUAAUUUUCGCGUUAAUAUCCCGUGACGAGACGCUCCGGCUUCGUAAAAAUUAUAAUAAUAACUUGCGUCAUCCAGCGAAAUAAGUUGUGCAGCUUGUUAUCUGCCAGUCGCGUCGUCACUUCACCACGAAAAUUAUAAUUGAUGCGUACGCGACGCCGCGCCGGUUCCGACAUUCUUGUGACAUUCGCGAGGUUAACGAGUUAAUCGGUGUAUCGAGCACAUUUAUGUCUUAGACUAAGAUUUGAUCUUCGUCUAGAAAUCUAUUUUUUCCCGGGAUGUACUUGAAAUUGCGAGGAAAUAAUACAUGUGUACCAUCACACACGGUGUCUGGAGAACCGCGUGACUCGUUGAUGAAUCGUUCGGAAAGAGACCGAGGACUCGUUAUAUUUUUAUCGGACCCUACUUCGGGGGUCUGGCCAGGUGGAACGCUUGUUGUAAUACUUCGCAGAUCGUGGUGGGCGGACGCAUCCGAGAACGACGUCGUGCCCGAAAAUUCCGCGUAGAUCCAUGUUGUUAUCGCGCAACAAUUUAUAACCAUUUGCGUUUGGCGGAUGGAUGGAUUUAUAUACGCAGGCCUUCGAAAUAAGACUUCCGUUUUGCGCCGCCGCACGAUGGGGCGGAAUCGACAUCCAUCGGAUAUCGAUUUCUGUUCCUUCUUAUAUCGAAGAUUCUGUUCGUUUACAGCUGUUUUCGCCUUCGAAUCUCGCGAGCGAGCGUUACAUCUGGUUACAUUGCUUAACGGAAUAUUCAUUUAAUUAUCUGCUCGGCGCAUAUACGUCUACGCAUCCACAGCGCAAUGUCCAAUUAUCGCACGUUUGAUUGAAGCAUUUCAAAUGGAACCGAGGCUACACGCUUUCAAUCGUCGCGAGAUCAUUUUGUCCUACUGUGCACCGUCUGCCAAAAACCUGCCAGGUCAGCUUUUCCGAUCUUAACGAAUUUAUGAAUGAACGCGAUUUACAUCGAAUCACAGUCCUCCGCGUUUGAUUCAUGCCUAAUAUUAAACGCUCGGCGGCACACGAGAGAUGGUCGAUCACGGAAUUAAGAGAUAGCCGGCCGCUUAUUCGAUUCUAAUUUCGAUUCUACGAGACGUGUCGUACCAGAAUGUCGGAAAUAAAUCUGAAACAGUUGUCAUAUACCGGCCGCGUCGACAAAGUAACCGCUACGCUUUGUCAGAGCCGGGACGCCGACGCUUCUCGCGUUGGAUUGAAAUUAAUAUGGCGCGAGUAAUUUUGGACGGCGAAACGCUUCGUUAAUUAUUUCGAAUGACGUGGGCCCGGUCGGGUAGCGAACGGUAAAAGAAACAAGAUCGAAGAUACACCGCUUUGAUUUCGUUCUCCAAAGACUAUAGGAAAAUACGAAUGUACGAACACGUUUGAGGGCAAGUGUAGGACUCAUAAGAAGGUUCCGAAUAGAAGUUGCAUCACCAAUUUGCCGAAGAUGCUAGCAGACUACUACCGAUUAGCAUAACUAAUUCUGCAUAGGCUCCUACAAUUUACCCGUGACUACACUUGCCGCGCUGCAGACAUUUAAUGGAAUUCUAAAAGCGUGAAAGAAAAAUGAUACCGGGGAAUCUAUCUUGAUUCGGGUAAUUACGAUAUAAGGGCUGCGAGUGGCCACCAGAAAGGUCUCGAUGCAAUUACGACGGCGACAAUUUAGCGUCGGCCUUCCGACACCGCGGAGGACUCACU